AUUGAACGCUGGCGGCAGGCCUAACACAUGCAAGUCGAACGAGUGGCGGACGGGUGAGUAAUGUCUGGGAAACUGCCCGAUGGAGGGGGAUAACUACUGGAAACGGUAGCUAAUCCCGCAUACCCUCUGAUGUGCCCAGAUGGGAUUAGCGUGUAGGUGAGGUAACGGCUCACCUAGGCGACGAUCCCUCGCUGGUCUGAGAGGCUGAACAGCCACACUGGAAGUGAGAAACGGUCCAGAAGCCGACGGGAGGCAGCAGUGGGGAAUAUGGCACAAUGGGCGCAAGCCUGAUGCAGCCAGGCCGCGUGGAUGAAGAAGGCCGUCGUGUUGUAAAGUACUUUCAGCGGGGAGGCGUUACCCGCAGAAGAAGCACCGGCUAACUCCGUGCCAGCAGCCGCGGUAAUUC
rnacentral:rRNA from 1 species